rnacentral:rRNA from 1 species
CCUACGGGAGGCAGCAGUGGGGAAUAUUGGGCAAUGGGCGCAAGCCUGAUCCAGCAACGCCGCGUGAAGGAAGAAGGCUUUCGGGUUGUAAACCUCUUUUGUCAGGGACGAAGCAAGUGACGCUUCAUGAAGAAUAAGCCACGGCUAACUACGUGCCAGCCGCCGCGGUAAUACGUAGGUGGCCAGCGUUAUCCGGAUGUACUGGGUGUAAAGGGCGUGUAGGCGGGACUGCAAGUCAGAUGUGAAAACCACGGGCUCAACCUGUGGACUGCAUUGGAAACUGUAGUUCUGGAGUUCUGGAGAGGCAGGCGGAAUUCCUAGUGUAGCGGUGAAAGGCGUAGAUAUUAGGAGGAACACCAGUGGCGAAGGCGGUCUGCUGGACAGCAACUGACGCUGAGGCGCGAAAGCGUGGGGAGCAAACAGGAUUAGAUACCCUAGUAGUC